UACGAAGGGGGCUAGCGUUGUUCGGAAUUACUGGGCGUAAAGCGCACGUAGGCGGACUUGUCAGUCAGAGGUGAAAUCCCGAAGCUUAGCUUCGGAACUGCCUUUGAUACUGCAAGUCUUGAGGAUGAGAGAGGUAAGUGGAACUGCGAGUGUAGAGGUGAAAUUCGUAGAUAUUCGCAAGAACACCAGUGGCGAAGGCGGCUUACUGGCUCAUUUCUGACGCUGAGGUGCGAAAGCGUGGGGAGCAAACAGG
rnacentral:rRNA from 1 species